rnacentral:tRNA from 1 species
GCUUUUCUAGUAUAAAUUAGUACAAGUGAUUUCCAAUUAUUUAAUCUUGGUUUAAACCCAAGGAGGAGUA